rnacentral:tRNA from 1 species
GCGCUCGUAGCUCAGUGGAUAGAGCAACCGCCUUCUAAGCGGUCGGCCGGAGGUUCGAGUCCUCCCGGGCGCGC